rnacentral:lncRNA from 1 species
CAGGGGUCCCCACUCACAAGUUCCCAUACCCCAGGUGGCACACACCCCUCACUGUGGGAUCAGCAGCCUGUAGGUGUUUCCUCAGUGUCAGACCAGGUGGGUUACUAGAGACCCCAAAACUCCAAGGACCCAGAUACCUGGGGCCCAGCCGUACAAAGGUCAGAUGGGCUUGGGGGAGAAGUGGACCAAGUUUGCUUUCCAUUCAGCUAAACAUACAAAGAUCCCUAGGAAGGCCCUGGUCCUGGAGAGAGGGUCUCUCGCACCCAGGCCUCUGCGGGCAUCCCUCAGCAUGGAGGCCCUCCCCAAGGGGGACGGGUUGGCCCUCCCUGGUCCACUAGCCCAGCUCCAGAAGCCCAGAAGCUGACCUGAGGCCAAGUCCCAGCAGCACAAGAAGAAUUCCACGGAGCCCAGGGCAACAGGCCACUCUCUGGGGGCCCAGCGGCUCAAGAUGUGGCAAGCCUGUUCCUAUCUCAGGAUAGACCAUGGGAUUUUUGGCGAUUUCUGUGUUGGAAUUCUCUCCCAAACUCCCCAUGGACCUGGACAUCCGGGGCUCAUGGUGUCCACAAUGCAGCUUUGAGCAGGGAUUCCAAACCCCUGUUCUUUCUACAUCUUCCCUGGACACCCCCAGGACAAUAGGACAGGCCCUGGCCCCGAACCCCCUCAGGGCCCCAACAACCAGGCCUUGCCCAGCCCACUGAAAACCCAGCAGUAGGGCCGUAGACACUCCCCUUCCAUGGUGGCACCUGGAUCUGACCUUUCUCAGGGGCCACUGAGCAGCACAGCCUUAAAGGAGUCAAGACAGCACCCAGACAACCCCAGACAGCUCCUGAGCUGGGUGAAAUCAGUGUCAAUGCGGAAGCUGGACUCAGAGGCUGCUGGAGGGGAGGGGGAUUGUGGCAUCUGCAGAGCCCCAGCCAGCCAGCAGCCUGUCACAUGUCCCCAUGCCUGCCCACUUGCGUGACAGAGCCUCCCUCACAGGGCAAACAUCCUAGACCUACAGAUGCCAAGCUCAGCCCAAGCCCUGGGAGAAAAGGGACCCAUGGGAGCCAUGGGUGCCAGAGAAAUAGCCAAGAUAACAAAAGAGGGGACUGAGCUUCCUGGGGCACUGGCCAAAACUAGAAUUUGGCCCAGGGAAGGGCAAGCCCCUUAAAGCAGUGUGUGGGUACACAGGGCCCCCACAAGGCAGGGCAUGCCUGGCAGGGCCAAGCCAGUGAUGUUACCAGGCUCAAAGAGCAACCAUCCACAUCGCUGAGGGCAGGACAGGAGCAAGUGGACCAGCCUCCAACCUCUUCAACUCAAGGAAGCAGCGAUGGCUGGAC